rnacentral:rRNA from 1 species
UACGGAGGGAGCUAGCGUUGUUCGGAAUUACUGGGCGUAAAGCGCACGUAGGCGGCGAUUCAAGUCAGAGGUGAAAGCCCGGGGCUCAACCCCGGAACUGCCUUUGAAACUAGAUUGCUAGAAUCCUGGAGAGGUGAGUGGAAUUCCGAGUGUAGAGGUGAAAUUCGUAGAUAUUCGGAAGAACGCCAGUGGCGAAGGCGACUCACUGGACAGGUAUUGACGCUGAGGUGCGAAAGCGUGGGGAGCAAACAGG